UAAUGAGAGAAAUUGAAGGGAAGAAAUAACAAUCAGAUUAAGAGUAGAUCAUACCCAUUUAAAUGACAAAUUAUAUUUAAUAGAGAGGAAAAAUAAAGAUAAAUGUGAAGGAUGUGGAGAGAAAGAAAAUGUAGAACACGUAUUGAUGAACUGUAAAACAUAUGAACCUGAAAGGGAGAAAUUGAGAAGAAUAGUUGGAAGGACAGGCCAAGAAUGGAGUCUUAAAGGAAUUUUGGGAAAUGAAGGAAAUAUAAAGGACAUUUACAUAUUAGGAAAGCAUCGCUUAUUUAUCUUCAGAAUACAAAAUAAAAAAAUACAAAUUGACAGACGUGAAGUAAUGUUACUACACACUCAUGUACAGUAGAUGGCGUUAUGCACCACAAAAUUGUUUGCGAUUCCACAUAACAGAAAAGAGGAGGAGGAAGAAGAAGCAAGCUACAUUCAGGAGCCAGGCAACCACGCGAUCUUUUCAGCCAUGACUCCGGCAGCACGGUACAAUGCCGGAUGGAGGGAAGUUAAUUUUGUUUCUUUUAAUCUUUGGAUCAUCCUUUCAGAAAGGUCUAGCAGCGUUGAUUCAAACCCAGCAGACUGUAUUAGCAGCAGUGGGAGGAGAUGCUCCUCUCAGCUGUCUCCUCCUGGAAACUAAAGAUGUCCAGCAGGUCACCUGGCAGAAGGACUUGGGGAACAAAGAGAGUAACAUCGGCUCCUACAGCGAGUAUUUUGGUCAAACAGUGAAUCCUGACUUUAAAGAUAAAGUUCAGUUCACAGAAGCUGGACUGCAGAAUACCUCCAUAGUCAUCAGGAGUGUUACAGAGCAGGAUGAAGGAUGUUAUCUGUGUUUGUUCAACACCUUCCCUGAUGGAGCACUGACAGCUGGAACCUGUCUGAAGGUUUAUGAGCUGCAUGGACCCGUCCUUGAUGUCAGCACAUCAAGCUCUCCUGCAGGGUCAAAUGUGUCCUGUUCAGCCACAGGUCGACCUGCUCCCACUGUAACACUGACUGCUCCACAGCAGAACCUCAGCUUGUCCCUCUACAACACCACCAGGGUGAGCAACAGCAACGGUACCGUCACCGUCACCACCACAGCUCUGCUGUCAGCUUCCAGCAGCACACAGGUUGGAUGUUCAGUGUCAGUUCUCUCUGCUGCUCCCAGAGAGCUGCUGCUCACCGUUCCUGGACCCUCAGAGACAUCUGAUCAUGGUUUGGAUGAACGAUCUGGAUCUUCUGGCAGAGGCAGUGCGUUUAUGUUGAGAUUCUCACAUGUUGAUUUCUCACUUUCUGUUGCUGAGACACAGUUUCUCUUCUUCCUGAAGGACGGGCUCUGAUUAUUUCAGUCAUGGUAUUUUUCAUCGGAAUUGGUAUUUUCAUACUCAAAAAGACUUCACAAAAGGAAAAAUAAACCGUCACAGGAGGCCACAUACCAAAGCUGGACAAAUCAUCAGUGUCGGAUAACAAAGGGCUCAGACUACAAACAUCUGAAAAACAGAACCAACACAGCGAGUCCCAGCCAUCACUGUGACAGCAGGAACACUUCACUUCAUUCGAUUUUUAAUAGUCAACAAAUAAGGCAGCUAAACCUGAACAAAGGUGGAUCAAACCUGGAGAUGCAACAGUUUUAUUACUAUUAAACACUCCUAAGAUCACCUCCUGGUUGUUUACAACUACUUACCUGAGAGGUUUCUACUUUUUUUAAACAUGUUGAGCUUCAUUUGGUGCUAACACUUUUAUACUUUUUCAUA